CUACGGGGGGCUCCAGUGAGGAAUAUUGCACAAUGGGGGGAACCCUGAUGCAGCAACGCCGCGUGGAGGAUGACGCAUUUCGGUGUGUAAACUCCUUUUAUAUGUCAAGAAAAUGACGGUAGCAUAUGAAUAAGCACCGGCUAACUCCGUGCCAGCAGCCGCGGUAAUACGGAGGGUGCAAGCGUUACUCGGAAUCACUGGGCGUAAAGGACGCGUAGGCGGGUUGGAAAGUCAGGUGUGAAAUCCUACAGCUUAACUGUAGAACUGCACUUGAAACUUCUAAUCUAGAGUAUGGGAGGGGGAGAUGGAAUUAGUGGUGUAGGGGUAAAAUCCGUAGAUAUCACUAGGAAUACCUAAAGCGAAGGCGAUCUCCUGGAACAUUACUGACGCUAAGGCGUGAAAGCGUGGGGAGCAAACAGGAUUAGAUACCCGUGUAGUC
rnacentral:rRNA from 1 species